rnacentral:tRNA from 1 species
GGAGCGGUAGUUCAGCUGGUUAGAAUACCCGCCUGUCACGCGGGUGGUCGCGGGUUCGAGUCCCGUCCGCUCCGCCA